AUGUAUCCACUUUGUUUUGGAAUUUUUGAUUCCGAAACAAAUGAGAACUGGAUCUGGUUCAUGCAAUUGCUUAGGCAAGCCAUAGGAUCGCCAAGGGGUUUAGCCAUAAGCAUUGAUGCUGGGCAGGCGGUGAUGACAUGGGUAAAGGAAGUUUUCCCAGAGGUAGAACAUAGGGAAUGCAUGUUUCACUUGGUGUCAAACUUCAAGAAAAAGUAUCACGGAAAGGUAUUUGAUGCCCAUCUUUGGGCUGCUGCUUACUCAUGGAACAAGUAUAUAUUUGAGAAAAAUUGGGUUGCAAUGGAGACAGCAAAGCCAGCGGCAACUACAUAUCUUAGGAAGUGGCACACUAGGUUGUGGACUAGGAGUCAGUUCUCAACCAUUUGUAAGGUGGACUAUGUAACCAACAACCUGGCAGAGUGCUUCAAUAAAUGGAUUAAGCACCACAAGUCCUUGAACUUGGAUGACUUAAUGGACAAGCUUAGGCAGAUGAUUAUGAUCAUGUGGAAUCGAAGGAGAAAAGUAGCAAAGAAGUUAGCUGGCUUAUUAAUUUUGCCCCACAUAAUGAAGAAGUUGAAUGCAAAGAGUAGAGAGUUAAACUUGGAGGUGGUAGAAAGCUCGGAAGAAGUUGCUGAAGUUACUCAAUUGGGAGGCAGCGGGUUUAGGUUUGUCGUCAACUUGCAUGACAACACAUGUUCUUGUAGACAAUGGCAAGUUUCCGGCCUUCCUUGCAAGCAUGCUCUAGCAUUCAUCACAUCACCUGUCAAUGCACAUAUACAGAAUUAUGUGGACUCGUAUUACUCCAUUGACAAGUUUAGGGCAGCUUAUGGCCAACUAAUCCCUGCUAUGUGUGACAAGACCCAGUGGCCUGAAUCUAACCAUGGAUUCUUCAUGCAUCCACCCUUGUUAAAAGCUGUAGCUGGUCGGCCCCAAACUGAGAGGCAUAAGGGUUGUGGUGAGAAAAAGAGGAAAAGUGGCCAGCACUUGUGCCCUAUUUGCAAGGAAUACGGGCACCAUUGGCAUAAAUGCAAGAAGGGUAACAAAAAUGACAUUGCUGCUUUCAUGGCUGUGAGAGAACCACUAAAGAAGAGGAGGAAGACUACUAAAACAUCCAAGUCAUCCAUUGUGCCAAGAGGUGAUGACGCGCCGGCAGCCGCUAUGUAUUUUCCACCAAGCCAAAACUUGGAAACUACAACCAAGAAGAAGGGAAAGCAUAACCAAACAUUGGAGACUACAAACAAGAAAAAUGCAAAAGGGGGGAAAAGGGCCACAAGGAAGAUGGAGCUUGCUAAAAAGGAUCAAAACAAUCCGAUGGUGCCAUUUGACAGCCCUGCAAUGGGCACUAGAAGCAAAAAAGCUUACCCAACUAGCCCUGCAAUGGGGACAAGAAGCAAAAGGCGACUCAGCUUGUGA
rnacentral:rRNA from 1 species